rnacentral:lncRNA from 1 species
UGAUCACCUUCUGCAGGUGGCUAUCUCAGUGCAACCAUUGAAGGUACAAAACUGGAUUCUUCCUGAAAUGCCUGGGCUAAUAACAGACUUUCUAAUCUCUCUUGAUGAUCGGUUUUUGUAUUUCGUCAACUGGCUUCAUGGGGAUGUCCGGCAAUAUAAUAUCGAGGACCCUAAGAAUCCGGUCUUGGCUGGUCAAGUGUGGGUUGGUGGACUGGUUCAAAAGAGAAGCCCUAUAGUGGCUGUUACUGAAGAUGGCCACACAUGGCAGUCCAAUGUUCCUGAGAUUCAGGUCUUUCUGAUAUUCACUGCAAAAAUCCCAUUGUUUUGAAAACAAUUGAUAACCAUGUUUUCUGGUUUUACAGGGACGUAGUCUGAGAGGGGGACCGCAGAUGAUCCAGUUGAGCUUAGAUGGGAAACGCCUAUACGUAACGAACUCACUGUUCAGCACAUGGGAUCGACAGUUCUAUCCUGAACUCAUGGAGAAGGGUUCCCACAUGUUGCAGAUCGAUGUUGACACCGAGAAAGGAGGACUUAAGAUAAACCCCAACUUUUUCGUGGACUUCGGAGCAGAACCAGAUGGUCCCUCCCUCGCACAUGAGAUGAGAUAUCCAGGUGGUGACUGCACUUCCGACAUUUGGAUUUAAAGCAUGCAAAUCCAGUCCCUUCUAACGUAGUAGUAAGACAAUCAAUAAACGCAGUUUCUCUGAAAACAUGUCAAGGCAGGGGAUUGAUCUUGAAUGAUAUACUGCAUAUGUUCAUCAAUUGUAUAUCAGCAGCUCAAUUUGCUGUCAUGAAAAAUUGAAAUAAGUGAAUAAAGGGUCCAAAUUGCAUUGAUUACUGCAUGGAAGUCGUAUGUUAUUCGGAAUAUGUUUGUGUACAGUUGGCCUGAUGGUGAAUUGAAGAAAACAUUGUAUCUAGGAAUAUGAACCGACUAUAUCCAGUCAGAAAUUCCCAUCGCCCCAAACUAUAAAGACAAAGCUAUGUUUAAGGAACCAAAACCAGACCUUCACCUGACCCAAUACUGAAUGAGCAUCUCCAUUAAUGAUUAAAGUGAUUUAAAUUGUGGACUCCAAUCAUAUUUACUAUGCUUGUUAAAGGGAAAUUAUUCAAAUUCUUUUAACUUAAAUAUUGAAAAUAUAUGUAUUCUUUUUUGGGAAGCACACAUAACAUCACAAGUACAAUUACAAAGGAUAUAUCUAAAUAUUUAUAAUCGGAAUUUUUCAUUACAAAGCAGGAUAGGACACAUGGCCAAAAUAAAUCUAUAUAGGAUAUGCAUAUGAAGAGACAUAAGCCAUAAUAAAUAUAGAAUAAGAACUCAUGCAUAGUUUACAACAAGUAUUGGGCUGAUCUUGACAUUAAUUUUUGGAAGCCUAAUUAAUUCUUUUAAAAAAAAUUGGGAAUGUAAUUUAAACUUUUAAGAACUUUUAGGAAGCUUAAUGAAAAAUAUAAAAACUUUAAAUGUUUAAUUAAAUUUUUCAAAAUUUUUAAAGGAUUUAAUUAUAAUUUUUUAAAUUUUUGGAGGGCCAAGCCCCCUUCCCCAACUCCUAUAAGGAUGAGUCUUAAAGUUCUCAUUGUCUUAACAUUGCGAUUAAACUAAGGCUUCAUUAAUUUCAUGUUCAUUAAAAAAAUAAUUAUUAAUGACAAUUAUAUUUUAUGUUAGUGCAUAAUGAUUUGUGGUACAAGUUGUGCCCACAUAACAAACCACAACUCAUUUCAUUGUUGGUAAUUUUUUACUUUGUAUUUCUCUUUAUCUUUAUAGUUAUCUUAUAAGCAGUAAAAAAAAUGGGAUAUCUAUCUACUUGAUGCAACACACUUAGAAGCAAUUUAAAUUGCAAUUACGAUCGCGUUUUUUGCCGCGCUGCUUUUACCGUAAUUGUGGUUAUUGUGGGCAAAACGUGUAACACCCCAAACCCGGCCUAGGUAUCAAGGCCAAGUCAAAAGAGUUACACUAAUGUUGCUAGGAAAACCAACUUAUAUAAACACAAUUAAAACCGUUUAACAGAUUGAACAAUCAUAAAAUUCAGUUGAUAAACCAUCAAUCUUGGAAAGUCAUAAUACGAAGGAGUAUUGAAAUUGCUAAUAAUAUAGACAAAAGGGUGAUAAAGUAGGUUGACCGAGCUUCCACUACGCUGACCAGAUCAAGACUGUGAGUUACCUGAAAUUCAAUCAACAACAAAAUAAGUAGAAAACUCAGUUUAUAACCAAUAUAGAUUCAAUUAGAAGCACAAUUAUAGUAAUAAAUUCCUAAGUUUAAGUUUUAUUUAGAAUUAGAGAUUAACCAGUACAGUUUUUCACAUCAAUUGAAUGGCAGAACAAUUCCAGUCCAGAUGCAGAACAAAUUAGAAAUAGAUGCAGUUAUUCCUACCCCUUUAAAACCCCUUCGGCCCUACACACCAUAUAGUGUCGGUCUGACACGUUUAGUGUACUUGCAAACCAGCUAUCAGAUCAAAUUUGCAAUAAAACGCCAGAUUAACAUAUAGAUUGUGGCCUAUCCACAAAAUCAGAACAUAUCACUUCCUUCUUUACACAAUUCUUACCCAUUGUAAAUACAAAUUACAAAUGUCAAAAAUGUACAUACAGUCAUUCAGAUUCAAUUCGUAUUCAGAUGGUACAAAUCAAUAUCAUCAGCAGACAUCACAAUCAAUAUCCAUUUAUAUACUCACAAUUCAGUUCCAGUGAUCACAUGUUAAAUUUGUAUUUUUUGUGUGUUUAAUUCGGUUAAUUCUUGAAUUAAUUUCUGCUGAAUCAGUGAUUUUAUGUUUUAAUCUUGUCAAGGAUGUAAUUGAGAUACUAUGAGUUAAAAACGAGUAAAAAAAAGAUAAUUUGCAGCAUAGUCAAUAAAGUGGGGCCGAAUAAAAAACGUGGAGAUAACCAAUGACUCAUCAGAUUUCUUUUGACUUUGUAAAAGCCAAAAUAAGAAAAAAAUCUUAUUUUAUUUUGAUUUUAUUUUUUUAUUUAAUUUUAAUUAUAUAUUUGGUGGUUAAGCCAAAUUUAGUAAGUGAUAUGUAUAUAAAUAAGGCUUUAAGGUAGCUUGGAUGAGAGACUUGAAUUUUCUUGAGCAAUUAAAUUAAAUCAUUAUUUUCUUCCAAUUUAGGCGUCAGUAGCAUAUUGCUACACCACUUCCAUUUCCUAUUUUCUUUGCAAAUUAGUUUAAUUGUUUUCCAAAUCCCUUCCAUUUUCAACUUUCACCAUUUUUCACUCAAAUCCAUUCCUUAACCAACCAAAGCAUGAUUAAAUUCAUGCUUCACUAAAUACCAACUUAGCUUUAGGUUGGUAUUCUUUCCGGUCAAGAAUCGUGAGAUACGUAUCUAUACUAAAAAUCCUUCCAAUCGACAUUUACAUUUCUCCUAAGUAUCAGGAUUGACAACUCAUCCCUUAAAGUUAACUCGAUUUCAAGUCAAAAAGCGCGUUGGGUUGGAGUUGUGUUUACGAACAAUUGGGGAAACGAGUCAGCCGUGCUGUAUUCGAAUCUUCGAGAACAAAUCAAUGAAGAAGUGAUCGAGUUUAAAUGAAUCACACAGUUGAGGCCGUUAAUCCGAGUUGGGUUCUUUAGAGUGCAAGGCUGCCAGAAUCUUCAAUGGGAACACGUGUAUCUCGGUUAGAUAAUCGGUAAGGGUUGGUUUGUAGGUCGUACCUGGACUAGCUGCGAGAGGAAGAAUUAGUGGUUAGGACGUUCUUAACUGCUAUAACCAACUUAUUGUUUAGAGGAGAAAAUUAAUUUUUGAAUAUCGAUUCUAAAUUCGGAAUCCACCGAGUCUAAAGUUAAGACUUAUUAUCUCUGUUUACAAAAUUCGAAUUUAAUUUUUAAUUUAGUUUAUUUUCCAAUUUAUUUAAUUAUUUAUUUAUGUUGUUUCAAUUAUUUAAUUUUUAAACAUUUCAAAACUCCCCUAAUUUAUUUUUUUAUUUUUUAGUAGGUUGGUUUGGAGUCAUGGGCACAACCAUUGCCAUGAUUAUCAACACGACACGACCGAAAUUCUGAUCACAAGUUAAACAUGAAAGUUGAUUAUAAUACUAAUACUUGUGGACUUGACCUUACUUACCACUCUUUACUAUUAUUUAAAGUUAUUUUUGUAUGAAUUAUCUUUUGUGGCUUCGACGCCUACCAAAUUUUGGCACCGUUGUCGAUGAUUGGAGAUAUUUUUUUCUAAUUUUUGUUUGUUUACCUUAUAACCAAAUCAGAACUGGGAACUCUAGAGUUUGAACCAGAAAUUGAGACAACUGCGAAGAGAAGUCAUUCGGCGCAGUAAAUGACAAAAUCCCGGAUUUGAAACCAUAUCUUACAUUGAGGAAAUUUUCUCAUUUGACGAACUAGACGAGAUGGUCGAACAAACUAUACAUCAACUUGCAGCGGCACCGAAUGAACAACAACCCUUAUGUAUAACCUAUCCGAUGGGAGGUACGUAGUUCGAGUUGAAGUCGGGUUUGAUUCAUUUACUACCCACCUUUCAUGGAUUACAGAAUGAAAAUCUACAUACCCAUUUUAAAGAAUUCCAUAUGGUGUGCACAAAUAUGAAACCUCAAGGAGUAACUGAAGACCAAAUCAAACUUCGUGCUUUUCCUUUCUCAUUAGCCAACUCUACUAGAGAGUGGCUAUUUUAUUUAACUCCAAGAUCUGUCAACACAUGGUCUGACAUGUCUCGUUUGUUUCUUGACAAGUUCUUCCCUAUAGCUCGAGCGACUGAACUAAGGAGAGACAUCAUAGGAAUUCAUCAGAAGGACACUUAAUCGCUCUACAAUUACUAGGAGCGAUCCAAAAAAUUAUGUGCAAGUUGCCCAUAACAUGGACUAGCUGAACAGUCACUCUUGCAUUAUUUCUAUGAAGGGUUGCUAUCGAUGGAAAUGAAAAUGACAUAUGCUGCAAGUGGAGGGGCAUUUGUUAAUAUGACGCCUCAGAGAGCUAGAUAGUUUAUUUUGACCAUGGCUGCUAACUCUCAACAAUUCCAAUUGGCUACAAAACCUACGAGAUUGGUUCAUGGGUUAAGUUCUCUAUCUCUAGGAGAUAAAAUUGAUAAGCUGACUAACAUUGUUCAAAAAUUGCUUACGGAUAAAAUAGGCCCAGUGCAGUUGUGCGAAAUUUGCACUAAACCAGACCACCCAAUAGACUCAUGUCCAAUUUUACAUGAGGAUUUGAUAGAACAAGCAAAUCUCACUGGGAACUUUCCAAGACCGCCCUAAAGGUGAUAUGACCCCUACUCGAACUCAUAUAAUAUGGGGUGGAAAGAUCACCCAAAUCUAAGUUAUAGGUCAAAUCCUUAGUUCAAUCAACCAACAAAGGCCACCUUCGAAUCAACAAUUAGUGCCCCUAAAGUCAUCUUUGGAAGCCAUAGUGGAAAGGCUAGUCAAUAGUACUAAGACGUUUCAGCAAAAAACUGACAUACAUUUGCAAGAGUUAGAAAGGCAAGUGAGAAAGCUUGCACUCACAGUUAGCCGUUUGGAGUCCCAAGGUAAGCUGCUAUCCCAAAAUGAGUUUAAUUCUCGACACAAUGUAAGUGUUAUGAUGUUGAGGAGUGGGAAGGUUUUGGAACCCAUACCUGGCAUGAGUUGGGCCUACGACUCUAGUCAAGAUUAAAAGAAACUUGACACAAAGGCUUUAGUGGAGUUAAUACCACAAAAAUCAUUUGCAACACCACCUCCAUUUCCUAGAAGACUUGUCUAAUACAAGAAGGAGUGAGAAGAGAAGAAGAUCCUCGACACCUUUCGAAAGGAAUCAACAUACCUUUUCUUGAAGCAAUUAAGCAGAUUCCACGAUGUGCAAGAAUCUUAAAAACAUUAUGCACGAGUAAGAGGAAGCUCCUGGGCAAUGAAAAGGUGAGUGUCAGAGAAAAUGUCUCCGCCGUUCUACAAAGAAAAAUACCACCCAAAUGUAAGGUCUAAGGUAUGUUUUCCAUAUCUUGCAAAAUAGGCAGUGUCGGUAUUAAAAAAGCUAUGUGUGACUUAGGCGCAUCAAUUAAUGUUAUGCAUUUAUCAAUUUAUAAACUACUUAAUGCAGGUCCUUUGAAGGAAAUAUAUGUAAUUAUUCAGCUUGCAGAUAUAUCUGUAGUGCAUCUAGAAGGAGUGUUGUAGGACGUUUUUGUUAAGGUAAACGAACUGAUAUUUCUUGCAGACUUCUACAUUAUUAACAUGGAGGAUGACAACUCGGCUAAUUCGUCUGACAUACUUCUUGGGAGACCAUUCUUGAGUAUUGCGAGAACGAAAAUUGAUGUUUAGAGUGGAACACUCACCAUAGAAUUUGAAAGUGACGUGGUUAGGUUUAAUGUUUAAGAGGAUAUAGGACAUCCCAGUGAUAAGUUACAAACUGUGCCUCGUAAGAAUGUAGAUUUCGAUGUUAAGCAAGAGGAAUUAUCAAUGAUCAAAAAACUAAUACACGAAGCUGUCAUGAAAGCCUCGAAAUUAGAGCUCCAACCAUUUUCAGAAUAUACAAGGAUUCUAACAGAGAAAAAUGCAAACUUGAACGGAGAAGCUCAAAGACGCCUCAAUCCACUAAUGAUAGGGGAAUUUGGGAAAGGCUUCAAGGACAGUAGGCAAAGGUCGAAACCUUUCUACAAGAACAUCCAAGUGCACAAAAUAGAAAAAUUAAUUUUUAAUGAGCCAAAUGGAUAACAUUUAAGGUCGUCGAGCUAACGACGUUAAACAAAAGCACUUUUUGAAAGGCAACCUAAUUUUUUUUUUUUGAAUUUUAGUUUAAUUUAGAUUGAAAAUAAAAUGAAUAAUAACCAGAUUAUUAUUUAACCAGGUUAAUGUGUUUUUUCAGGGACGUAAUGAAGGUUGUCGAUUUUUCAAAAAUUGGAUAUUGAUGGUGGAGUGGGCACACCGUGCUAAGUGCUGACAUUUAUUUCCCUACAAACGAAACCCAACAUCCCUAACCCAAAUAAAAACCUCAACGCCGACAACAUCGUUAGAAACACGUGGGGAGUAUUCUUAACCUUUCUCUUUGCUUGUUAUUUGAGUUAUUGUAUUUUAUUGCAUACAAAACAUGCUUGAGGACAAGCAUAAAUUAAGUGGAGGUUGAAAUGGUAAGUAUGCAUGAUUAAUCAAUUUUUGCUAUAUGUUUCUCUUUCGCAUAUAUUCAAUUUAAUGCUAGAUUUAUUCGAUAGUUUAUUUUACAUUAAGCUUAUAAUCUCAUUACUUAGUAAAUUUGGACAAUUGGGUAAUUUUUGAAUUAAAGUGUUCAAGUAUCUAGAUUAAUCGACAUAUGUGUUUUAAAGUUGAUAUAUGUAACUAGAUUUUUCAUAUAAAUUGAUUGUUUGGAAAAAAAUUAUUUGCUCGUACAUAAAUAAAUAAAUAAAUAACAUGAAAAAUAAAUAAAUGAAUAAAUCCUUAAGUUAUGAGUGAAAGUUUCGAAAAAGUGGCUAAAUUUAGUAAACGGUAUGAGGUGCUUGGGUUAUCAUCUCAUCUCGCGUAAAAAGGUUCGAGUGACAAAUCGAAAACUUACAAACAUUCAGCUAACUGAGCUUUCAAAAAAAAAAAAGACUGUUUGAACUGAGUAACUGAGAUAAGAUGCUUGGGUUGUCAUCCUAGUUCACGUAAAAAGACUUGACCCCUUUUAAAAAAAAUUACUACAUGGUUAAUUAAUAAUUCCUUGCAAAUUUUGGUUCAAACUCAAUUUAGUGAAAUGAUUUAGUUUACAUGUUUCAGUUUUAUGACAAUUGUUGAUCAAACUAGGUAUUCCGAGCUCUUUUUUUUGCCUAUAUUGUUUACAUUAAUUAUGGAUGCGAAAAAGAAGCUCGAUUUUUAAUAAUUUAUUGAAUAAUUUCUAGUGUUUGAAAGUACAAUAUGCUUGAGGGCAAGCAUGAGCCAUGUAGGAGGAUUUGAUAACAGGUAAAUUUGCAUUAUUUUUGUGUUUAAUUCGGUUAAUUCUUGAAUUGAUCCCUACUACCACUCUUUACUAUUAUUUAGGGUUAUUUUUGUAGGAAUUAUUUUUAGUGGUUUCAACGCCAAUCAUUCAGAUUAUCAGAUAGCAACUCAUACGGUCUAACACAGGUCAUCAGUGCACUACGGAAGGUCGACAUUUUCGUUAGACAAUGCUUAGAGAUAAAUUUUAGAUCUGACCUACAUGCCAGUAUGACCACACACGGCUUGAGACACGCUCGUGUUGUCGACCCAUGUGGUUUUAAAUCGUGAACAGUGAGUCAUAUGGCCUAAACACAUACCCGCGUGGUCUCUAAAAGUAAUGGUGAGUCACACGGCCUGGACACACGCUCGUGUCCCUAACUCGUUUGAUCUUUACAUUGUACUUAGUGAGUUAUACGACCCAGACACAUACCCUUAUCCUUGGCCUGUGUGAACACUGCACUAACCUGACCACACAUGGCCUAGACACACAUCCGUUUCCCUUGCUCGUGUGGCUCGUAUUUGGUAGAUAGUGAGUUACACGGCCUACCACACUGCCUGGCACACGACCAUAUGGCUCACAUGGCCAUGUGGCAUCGACAACCAUGUUUCUUGGCAUCUAAGAUUCAUAAAAACUUGGAUUUUUGGUACCCACUUGAAGUAGUUUUGAUGUAAGAGCAACGUAGAAGACUCUCGAAGAAUAACACGACCAUUUUAAGCAAUUUAAUUAACAACAAUACCCAAUUAUGCGCAGAAAACUAUGUCGAAAGUUUUGAAGCAAAACCUUCAACAAUUCUAGACUUACCGACAAAAUCAAUAGCAAUUACUCGAGUUAUUGUGCUGAGGAUCCUUGCUUUUAAUAUCCUCGCCUAAAAAGAAACCAAACAGUCGCUUAAAAGAAAGUUUAAAAAAUCGAGUUGGAAACAACUCCAACAGAAACAAACGAACUAUCGUCUAAUGGAAGUUCUACAAGUAACGCAGUUCACACAAUCGAUAUAAUUGGUAGUAAGGGCACGCACACUUACCCGACAACAUAGCAGACAAAACGUGCGAACCAAGCAACAAUUGGAUGAAGAAAGAAGGAAAAAGAAUAAAAAGAAAUAAACAAAAGAAAAAAAUAAGAAAAGAAAAAAAUAGAGAUAGAAGGAAGAGAGAACGUUUAACUAAUUAACCACCGAUCAAAAUUCUGACAUUAAGCAAAAACAUUACUUAAUUCAUAUGUCAAGACUCGAAUAUAGGACCAGAGAGUAGACAGAUGCUUAACCAGUGAACCAGCAGGCUCAUUCUUAACAUAGAUUUACACAUAAUUAAAUUUAAGUCAACAGCCCAAGAGUAGAUAUGGAUUAAAAUUGAAUUAGCAAUACUUCUAAAGACGUGACUCAAACUUCCGACCUCAACCACAUAAACAGAGCACAUCACCACAAAUACAGAGACUUAAUUACUACGAAAUCCCAGGAAUAAACAUUUAAAUUUUUGGGGCGUUACAAAGUGGUCAUCAAUUUUUUUCAAAUUUGCACACGUUUUUGUAAAAAGUAACAAUUAUAAUUCUAAUUAGAGUGAUUUUUGUGGGGCAAUUUACUAAAAAAGCCCUUUUAUAUCAUUAUUUACCGAAAUGGGUUGAUUUUUUGAUUAUUUACCGGAAAGGGCCGUUUCCCCAGAAAGUGCGUCCACGUCAGCGCGAAGUUAGGGGACGUGUCUGCAAAACGCGUCCCUCGGGGAGCAUUUUUUCCUGUUUUUUAAGGUUAGGGGUUUUUUAAUUGGUGUAGGGUUAGGGUUUAGUUUAGGGUUUUUAAGGCUUAGGGUUUUAGUAUUUUUUAAGGAAAAAAUUAAUUAAAUUAGGGUUGAGGGUUAAUUAAUAUUAUUAACUAUUAAAUUAAAAAAAGAAUUUAAAUUAGGAUUUAGAGUUUUUAGGGUUUAUUAAUUAAAUUAACUAUUAAUUAUGGAAAAAAGCUCCCAUGUGGAUACUCUUUUGCUACGUAGUAUUUGAAAAAAUAAUUUUGAGAAGAUGUUUCUGAAAAAAUAGUGUCAAAAACGCUUCAAGAAGGAUGCACUGCUAGCAAAAUUACGGAAAAAAGCUCACAUGUGGACGCUCUUUUACUACAGUAGUAUCUGAAAAAUAAUUUUGAGAAGAUGUUUCUAAACAAAUAGUGUCAAAACGCUUCAAGCAGGAUGCACUGUCAGUAAAAUUACGGAAAAAAGCUCCCACGUGGACGUUAUUUUGCUACAGUAGUAUCUGAAAAAGCCUUAGGCUAUAAAUGAGCCAAAUUUCAUUUUCAGGUUGCAAAAGUUACAACAAGAGAAAUUGAGGCUAAAGUAAAAUAGAAAUUGAAGAUGAGUAAAUGUAUUAGUGCUAUUAUUUACUAUGAUGGCGAGGUCCGUGACACCGAGAACGGUGUUGUUUUUUUAUCGGAGAACACAGUUCGACUAGUUUUUAACCAGAACAUAGAUUUGACAGAACUUCGUAAAAGAAUUAGGCGUAAAAUCUUUGGAACGACGCCAAUGAAAGUUUUGUCUAUUAAGUAUUGAUUUUGUACUUCGGUUGAUCUCGUAAGAUAUGACUCAUUUGAUAUCAAAGGUCCUUGUAGCUUGGAGGUAAUGGUGUAGACUCAUUUUGCCAGUGGAUCACCUAUAUUGAGUUAUAUGUACAAUUUUCAUCGCCAAAUGAUGCAUUUGCGACUUCAACAUCUAAUGCUGUUCGAGAGGAAUACACCACCCCUACCCGACACUCAGUUAGUGGGUGGCAAAACACGAAAGCUCUCGUGUUUGGUAGCAGUAUGGAAUAUACAACCCUUGCACAACACUCCGUUAGUGGAUGGGACAUGCAACUCGGUAGGUCGAUGUUUGAUACUGAAAAUACGUACUGAGGAAUGACAUCAACUUCUAGUGGUUGGCAAUCCACAUCUGAUUGGAGAUGUUAUGAAAUAUCCAGAAGAAGGGAUGAUGUACUCCUUACAACAUCCACCGGUGAGGGGACCUCAUUCAUUGCAGAUAAUGGUGGGUCAGAUGAUGAGUCCGAUGUGGAUCCACUUCGAGAGCUCGGUCCCGAUGGUGCAGAAGUUGGAUUAUUUUCUAAACCAGAGCAUGUUCCAACCAUACCUGAAGAUGUUGAAGAGGGUUCAAAUGAAGAAGAAGAAGAAGAUCCACGAUUCAGGGCAUACUCGCCUCUAGCCCACAUGCAUAAUGUCGAUCUAUCUCAAGAUGAUGCAUUAGUGUUUCCAGAUCUACCACAUAGAAGGCGUGACUGUACAAGUUCGUCAUUGGAUUCGGGUGAAAUGGAAGUUGGUAGGGAAUUUUCCAAUAAGGAUAGUUUUCUUGGUGCAUUGAAACAACAUAACAUCAUGAACGGGGUUAACUACAACGUGGUUAAAUCUAAAUCCGAUAAGUUUGAGGCCAAGUGUGCAGUGCAAGAUGGUACAUGUUCAUGGAAAAUCAUGGCCUCAUUGAGGAAAAUGACAGGCUUGUGGGGGAUAAAAAAGUACAAAGGUCCAUAUAUAUGUGUUGGCGGUAAAGUAUCACUAGGUAUUUAAGGUUUUUGAAUAAUACUAUUAUUACGUAAUGUUGCAUUAUUUAACAUACUUUGUUGACAAGUGUUUCACAAGAUCAUCCCAAGAUGGAUUUAGAUAUGUUAGCUAGCUUAAUACUACUGAUGGUGAAGGCGGAUCCGAAGACUUCAAUGCCAGUCUUAAUUGCCAAUAUUCGUAGCCACUUGAAGUACACGCUCUCUUACCGCAAGGUUUGGAUAGCUAAGUAGAAGGUGUUGGAAAAGAUAUAUGAUAGCUAAGUAGAAGGUGUUGGAAAAGAUAUAUGGUAUAUGGGAAGCUUCAUAUAAUGAAGUGUGCCAGUGGUGUCAAGUGCUAGAGAGAUAUGUCCCAGGUUGCAUAACAGACCUUGAAACGGCACUUGUGUACUACAACGACCAAUUUCUCUGUGGAUGCCAAGUGUUCAAUUGUCUGUUCUGGAGUUUAAGCAAUGUCGGGACGCAUUUAUAUACUGCAAGCCAUUAGUACAAAUUGACGAUACCUUUAUGCAUGGUAGAUAUACCCAUUGGCUAUUGCUAGCUGUGGCACAGGAUGACAGGGGAAGAAUAAUUCCAAUUGCGUUUGCAACAACACCGAGGGAGUCAGCUGAUGACUGGGAUUUCUUUCUUUCUAGGUUAAGGAGGCAUGUCUGCCCCCAACCUGAUAUAUGCGUUAUAUCGGAUCGGGGCACUGGAAUACUAACCGCAAUUGAGCGACAAGAAAGCCAAUGGCAUCGCACACACCAUCGGUAUUGCCUAAGGCACGUUGCGUCCAACUACUACGGGUAAUUUUGAUCUACAAGUGAAAAACGACAAGUGACCAACAUGGGUAUUUAAUCUCUAUUAAUAUAAUUUCGUUUGUAAUAUUGAAUUUAUUCUAAAUAGAAGAGUGGUAUGUAAUUUUCGCUAUGAACUUAUAUUGGCAGGGUAUGAGAUAAGUAAGGACCGUUUUCAUGAGAUGUUGGCAGUUUUACGUUCAGUUAACGAAGAAGGUGCAGACUACCUUUGUAACAUACCUUUCCAACAGUGGACACAAGCAUACGAUGGUGGCCUACGAUAUGGUCAUAUGACCUCAAACCUGGCUGAAUGCAUAAAUUCUAUUCUAAAAGGAACGUGUCAUUUGCCAAUAACAGCCGUUGUGCAAGAGACAUAUUUUCGUUUAGCAGCAAUAUUUCCAAAGUGAGCAGCGAGUUAUAAAGGCCAAAUGCAAUGAGGUCAUGUAUGGUGCGCGAAGGUAUUGCAAGAGAUUAACAAGGCGAAGGCACGAGCCAACACCAUGCACAUAGUGUGUCACGAUCGCGACAACCUAUGGUUUUGUUUGACGGAGUUUAACAAACCGAACCAAGGUAUUAUUAGCAGGCAAUAUCAUGUACACUUGAGAAAUAGGACAUUCGACUGUAGGGUGUUUGCGCACUACGUUAUCCACGCGCUCAUAUAAUUGCAGCUUGUCAGAAUCUCCGUCAGGAUCCUAUAACGUAUGUCGAUCAAGUGUACAAAAUAGAAUACAUGUACAACAUGUGGAGACACGAUUCCCACCGAUCCCAGAUUAAUGUAAGUGGCCGUCUGUAUCGCUUGCUCCGUUUAAGCUGUUACCGGAUAGAGAAUUGCGUCGCAAACCAAAGGUUCGACCUUACUCGACUAGAAUACGUAACAAUAUGGAUAUCUGAGAAACAACGAACCAAUAGAGGUUGUGCGGAUGGUGUAGGAACCCAGGCCAUAUAACUCGAUCAUGUCCAAAUCGGAAUAGCUAAUAGUUGUUGUAAUAAAAUUAUGUUGCAUUAUUUAUAUUUUAUUAAAAAUAUAAAAAAUAUUAAAAAAAUUGUCAUAUUCAAAAUAACAUUUAUUUUAAUAAAAAUUAUUGGUUAAUUUAAAAGUACAUUUAUUGUAUUAAAAUUAAAAAAAGUAAAGUACAAUUAAAAUAUUAAAAAUAACUUUUAUUUUAUUAAUUAAAACUAUAUAAAAAAUAAAUAUAAAAAUAAUAAAAAUAUUGGAUAAUUUAAAAGAAUAUUUAUUUUAAUAAAAUUAAAAAAGUAAAGUACAAUUAAAAUAUUAAAAACAACUUUUAUUUUAUUAAUUGAAACUAUAUAAAAAAUUAAAUAUAAAAAUAAUAAAAAAUAUUGGCUAAUUUAAAAGAACAUUUAUUUUAAUAAAAUUAAAAAAAGUAAUGUACAAUUAAAAUAUUAAAAACAACUUUUAUUUUAUUAUAUGAAACUAUAUAAAAAAAGUUUCUACAAAUAUAUUAAAAAAAUCAAUGUUGGUGCCAGUCGAAAUCAAUGCCACAUGGGGUUCGUCGAUGGUUACGCGCUAGAUUCCUUCUUGGUUUAGCUUCCGAUGGGGGUUGUGGUUGCUUCGGUGGGGACUGUGGUUCCUCUGACAGGGGAUCUGGUUGUGAGUGUUGGGAGGAUGACCCACCUUGAUAGAAUAAUAAAUGCGGAGGUGUUUGCAUCACCCAUGGUGGAGGUGUUUGAAUCCCAUAAGGCGAUGGGGAAUGGUAAAAAGAAGAGCUCCUUGACGGCGCCUCGUGCGAUCCCUCAUGCGACGGCGGCCUAUUGAUUUGUGGUUGAAUCGGAGUAAUUGGGAACGGAGAUGAACCGGGCCAUGCAUUCCAACCUGCCAUAGGACUGGGAAAAGGAAACAUAAAAGGGUUAGGAUACAUAUAAGGGCUAGGAUACGCACCUGGCAUAAUCUGAAAAGGCUGUGAUAUGGGUGUCGUCGGUUGAAGUGUUGGGCCAGGUGGCUAUGUGGGCACUGUUGAUGGGCCCGAUGAUUGUAUGGGCAUUGCUGAUGGGCCCGCGUCGUCAUCCCUUCUUCUUGGAUUUAAAGGGCCCCGUCGUUCUCUUUGCACACGAAUUUGCCGUCGCCUCUCCUCUUUCGACAAUAAAUAUGGCUUGCCAUGGAUUCUAAACCAUGGCAUGUAUUCCGGCAUGCAUGCUAACUCAGGAACGAUGAUCGGUUCCCGAGUAGGUAUAUAAUCAUACUGAUUUUCCCACAUUUCGAUAUAUUCUGACCAGUGUCUCGGCCAAUCCGUAUUCAAUAGCCAUAAGUCAACUUUGUACUCAUAAUCGAACACCUCAGGUGCCACGGGAAUUGGUUGUCGAAAUCCAAAUUACUGCAACACUCUAUUUGACUAAUGCAUCUCCACGAUAGCAUAGUUGACCAAUGGGACCUUCACAUGCCAAAUGUUCGGAUUUUGAAAAAAUUCAUUCAGAAUUACUACCCGAAUUGCCGGAUCCUCGUAUGGCGUCCAUUGAAACUAUAUGAACAUGAUAAAAAUAUUAGUUAUAUAUGUAAUACUAAAUACUAAAUACUAAAUACUAAAUACGAAACGACUAUUUUAUUAUGUAUAUAUAUUUUAUUUAAUACUUACUUGUGCUUCCGACCGUUGGUCUAAUAGAAGCCGUAUAUCUUCACGAGAUGUGGGUAUUCCAACAUAACUUGCCGAAUGGUUCCACCUAAUUAAAUAUUUUUUAGCAUACAAUCAUAUUUUAAAUCUACGUAAUAAUUGUAAAAUCUAAUAUAAAAUUUACCUCGUUAUUAGUGGGAAUGUAUAUGGGUGGUUCACUCGAGGACGUAAAAAUAGAAAGCAAAACAGUGCCCAUGAUUGCAAUAGUGAUAGGCAUCCUCCGAUUUUGGCUUUAUUCGGUCGCGUCGACCGACACAUCUCCCAGUACAAUGUUGCUAACACGGCAGACCCCCAACUUAAUUCACCUGCUGCUCUAAAGUCAACGAGUUUCAGCAGCCAUCUCAGAUGUACGCGGUUUCGUGACAAGUCCGGCAUCAGAUAACCUCCAAUCAUUUCAAGAAUGUAUGCCUGAGCAUGUCGUAUUCUUUCUAAUUCAAUCGAAUCAUUAUCCGACUCCGAAAAUAUGUCUCGUAACCAGCCCAUCUCGAUCAACCUCUAUUAAUAUUAUCCGGAAUAGCACCCAAAAGCUCGUAGCAUACGGCUCUCCAAUCAGCAGAUUGAGUGGAGCCGGUGACUGCGUACCCAUCGACUGACAAUCCCAAUUGCAAUUGCACGUCUUCCAGAGUGAUAGUACACUCUCUGCAUGGAAGAUGGAAAGUGUGCGUCUCGGGUCUCCACCUCUCUAUCAACGCACUGAUUAGUUUCGGAUCCAACUUCCACCCCCGGCCUAUCAUGGUCACGUGUCAAAAACCCGCUUCUCUACGACCAACGGUGAUAGAGGACCAAACAUAUUACGGAUAUAGCAUUGCAACACCUGAUCUACAGGCUGUUAUAAAAAAAUUAUAAAAUAAAUAUUAAUUAAAAUUGCAUAAAUUAAAAAAAUUAAAUACUAUUCAAAAAUUAAUUAAACUUAUCACUUACCAUUGUCAUUUGAUCAACGGAGAUAUGUUUCGUAUCGAGACAAAUUAAUUCUUUGGCCAUUGCUAACACGAUCGAAUAUUUUUGUAAUUUAAAAAAUAAAACUAAUUCAAAAAAAUUUAAAUAGAGCUUUUUUGCAAAAACUAAAGAGAGCUUUGAAAAAAGUUGAGAGAAAUUUGAGAGAAUUUGGAGAGAAUUGUGAGAGAAUUGUGAGAGGACUAUUGUGUGAAAAAAUGAAAGGGGGAGGGGCCUUUUAUAGUUUUUUUUUUACCGUUAGAGUUCAAACGGUCAAGUGACCGUUGGGGGCGGGACAAAAUGCUCCCUCAGGGACGCGUUUUGCUGACACGUCCCCUGACUUCGCACUGAUGUGGACACACUUUCGGGGGAAAUGGCCAUUUUCAGUAAAUAAUCAAAAAAUCGACUCAUUUCGGUAAAUAAUAAUAUAAAAUGGCUAUUUUUAGUAAAUUGCCUGAUUUUUGUGACACCUUAUAAAUUUGUAUUUACAUGUGAAUACUUUUUUUACAAGUCAUAUGGUUAAAACUCUUAUCAGGCACCUGUUUGGCACGAGUCCAAAUCGUGUUACCCCCAUCCCCACCCCAAUAUUGUAUAGAAAACAAGUAAAUUCAUAUUAAAUGUCAAACAUUUAUCUUAUGUGAUAAAUUUUAAAAUAUUAAAAUACUAUAAAAAAAUGUAUUACCUUGCAAGUUGUGGUACAACUCAAGUUCACCGUAUAAUAGAAUGGUCAGCGCAAUCAAAUCCUUCACCUUCACUUUAAAAUAUCAUAAUUUAAAAAAUUAUGAUAAAUUCAUAUUAAAUUUUAUAAAAUAUCAAAUAUUCAUCAUAUGUAAUAAAUUUUGAAAAAAUAAAAUAUCAUAAUUAUAAAAAAUCAUACAUUGCAAAUGGUGACACAACUCAAUUUCACCACAUAGUGGAAUGAUGAGAGAGACCAAAUCCUUCACCCUCACUAUAAAAUACCAUAAUAAUUAAAAAAUCAAGGUAAAUUCAUAUUAAAUGUCAAACAUUCAUUAAAUAUAAUAAAUUUUUAAAAAAUUAAAUACCAUGAUUAAAUAAAUUCAUACAUUGCAAAUGGUGGUCCAACUCAAUUUCACCACAUAGUGUAAUCAUGAGCGAGAUCAAAUCCUUUACUUACUUUGAGAGCUACCUUGACUCGAUUUUGUGGUAUUUAUCCAAAAAUAUAGCCAUGAAAACGAAUAUUUUGUCCUUAAUCUUGAUACAACUGAGGUGGAGAUUACAUUUGAGGUUAAGGAUAUAUAUAUGUAGUGGAAGAAGGUGAUACAUUUGAGGUGGAUAAGGCAUACUAUAACCGGGAAAUGGCGAAUAGUAACUAUGUGAUUGUAAUCGGAGGUUGAAAAAAUUGGAGGUAGCUCUAAUGGAUAAUAACCUUGAGUACUAACAGACGAAUCACUAUACCCAAAGUUACUCACCAUCAUCACUUUAACUUAGCGUUGUACUUGAACUAGAAUGAAACUUGUCUUGCUUUUGAGAUUGAACUUUUCAUUCAAUGUUCAUUUCAUCAUCAAAAUCCAUAAGAAAUAAACCAACAUUUUCACCAUCUAAUAGAGGAUUUUCUUUCUCUUGCAACUAGAUAGUAAAUCAUCAUCUUCAAAGAUACGAUCAAUUCUAAUAGAAUUAAAACUAUCAUUUAUCCCAUCAAUACUUGUUCUUAUAUGAUGUAUCAUCUUCAGUCUCUUAUUGUAGUAGGUAAAUACUAAUUUCUCAAGUCUUUGAAACAUUAACCUAUUUCUUGCCUUAGUGUGGAUGUAGCUAAAAUGUGCUCCAAAUUUCGUUUGUAGUUUGAUGCAUAGGUUGUUUGAUUAAGCCCUUUAACUACUAAUCUUUGUAAUUCAAGAACACAUGUGCCAUAUAUUAUCUACCAUUCAACUACAUAAUAUUAUGCAUGGACAAGACAUAAGAUUUUUCCAAGUCUAAUCAAGUAUGAUCACUGCCUAAUUACUUGUCCAUUAAUCUAAUCCCCACUUGACUAAAGGCAUACCCUAGUCCCUACUAGGCAUGUCAAGAUUUGACCAAGGUAGACACAUACCAAGGCUUAUAAGAAGGGUGAUGGCUAAGGGAGCUUAUAAACACCUUGAUACAUGCACGGAUAGGAUGAAAUUUAUUAAAUUCUAUUCAUUGAAGGUGGCAAUUUUCAAAUUCGAAAAAUCUGAUAACUUGCAAUGAGUUUUUGGAUAGGAUCCAAACAUUUUUUUAGUUGAGAUGUCACAUAUCAAUCGAAGAUCUGUCUCUUAUCUUCGCAAUGCACUUUGAAUCACUCGAUUUCAAGUUUGGAAGCUCAAGUUAUGAUUAUUUUAUUGAAGACUACGCGAGCAGAAUUUUUGGAUGGGAUUAUUAUAGGAAAUUAUGAGAGAGUUUUGGGCUUUAAUUCAAGUUUAAAUCAUAUUGGAUUCGAUUUUUAGGCUUUAUUUUUAUUAUAUAUAUAUAAUCUCAAUAUUGUAUUUAUUAAAUUUUAUUAUUUUAUUAUUUAUUUAUUCUAUAUUUUGGAUAUAUUUUUUUAUUAAUGAUACAGGAUUGGGUGAAAAUUAUUAAAUUUCAUUUAUCGAAUUUGUCAAUUUUCAAGUUCUAAAAAUUAAUUGACUUGCAAUGAAUUUUUAGAUGUAAUUUAGUUAUUUUUAGGUUGAGAUGUCUUCGUAUCGAUGGAAGAUCUGACUCUUAAUUAUGAGCUUUUUAGUGAAGAUAAAUAUGAAUUUUGAGGUUUAAUUAGAAUUUAAAUAAUAUUAAGUUAAAUUUUUAGAUUUAAUUUUUAUUAUGUAUUUAAAUUUAUUAUUUAUUUAUUCAACAAUGGAGGUUGAAUCAUAUUUUAUAGAAGUUCAUCUCACCCAAAAUGACGGGGGUUGAAAUCCUGAGUGAACCGACUUAAUGGAGGCAAAUAACUCAAGCUUGCAAUGAAAAAGAAAUAACUAGUCUUUGAUGGAAAGCAAGAAGAAUCGUAAUUAGCGAUGAAAUAUUCACAUAAAAUCCUCUUCUACUUCCUGGAAAGACUUGUUCGUCGCUGCAAUUUGUUUGUUUGAUGUCAUCUUUUCAGGGACCAUCAGAUUGUCGUAGCUUCUUAUUUCUGCUUCUCUUUCCUUUUCAAGCCUUUGCAUCUCCUCUCGGCGUUUUUUUUCCUUCAGCUGUUGCUUUCUCUGGGUUUUUUCCGCUGCAUAAACUGCUUCUUUCUUAGCUUUCAAAUCAGGUUUCCUUUCCACUUUAGUCUUGUUCAACCUGUUAACUAUCUCAUGUAUCCGCUUCUCCUCUCUCACAGUCCGAACCAUCUUGGAAUUGUGAAAGCCAACUUGGCCAACAUCCAUCGAAGGAGUUUUCUUCAAAUUGGACAAUGGAGUGUAAACAACAUCAAUACUAUUCACCUUCUUGCCUUGGAUGGAAUUAGCUUUAACAAGCUGAGCACAUGUUCAAAGGCUGGUGUUGGUUACUGGUUGGUUUAUAAAUCCAACUAAAAGUUGUUGCUUAGUUAAUUAGUUAGGGACUAAAAUGUUGAUAUAUAAAUAAAUUGCGGGUGUAAUUUAAAAAUAUUUUUUUUAUCUCUUAACGAAAGCAUCUUUCAAAUUACUUUUGUUUUCCUCUUUUUCAUGCCUUAAUUAUUGUCGCUAUUACUCUGCUCUAUUUCUUUGUGAUUAUCACCGGCGUACCACCGACCAACGAUGGUCACUGACGUUUUCCAGCAGCACAAUCUUCGACAACACCUUCGCUUAUAUCAUCAAUGGUUUCACCCUUUUUAAGUCUUAAAUAAACAUGGGCAGAAUACAUCUUAUCCACAUGGAACAAGAUCUUCCAUGAAGCCAUAUUUGAUGAGCUCCUAUUUCUCGUACUUGUCAAGACCCAUGAAAAUGGUUUAAUCGCCAGCUUGUGGCCUGGCUUUGAAGUAAAAUACCAUUUUUCCCUCGCUUUCGUGAGAGACAAAAUUAAAGGAAAUAAUUUCUUAAUUUCUUAAAGAAGAUCGAGAAGAAUUAAAAAUUUUAUUAAAGAAAAAUAUUUGUAUUUAAUGAACUUUUAUAUAAUCUAUCUAAUUACAUCCUAAAUAAAACAUUUAACUAUAAUGAAACUCUAAUAGUUUUAAGUAAAUUUGAUAAAUAUAAAAUUUCCUAAUAAUUUAAAAUAAUUCAAAAUAUAUUUUUAAAAUUUGAAAUAAAUAAAUAAUAAAUACAAUAUUCAACUAAUAUAUAAGAAAAAUCAACAAAUUUUACAUGCCAAUUAUUGUUAACAAUUUUUCUUAUUGAUUUCUCUAAAAUUUAUAUGCUUCUUUUUAACAAAUAGCUGCAAAUAAAGAAAGAAAAUAGAAGAGUUGCAUGGAUUGAUAGAUGUUUUCAAUACUAGAAAUAUCAUAUAAAUUCACAAUUGCGAUUCAUAUGACUAAAAAAAUGAAACAAAAAACACAACUCUAAAGAGGCAAAUAAAAUUACAACCGCCUUAAAAAAUAAAACCCUAGUCAAGAGUGCUUUGCUUAGUAUCCUAGAGAGAACAGAUUUCUGUGGCUUAGGAUGGAGGAGAGUGGUGGCGCAGAGGGUUUUAAAGGAGAUGCGAUCUCUCUUCUGGCGGAGGAAUUAAUCCAAUUUUCAAUCAAAAGUUUGAUGGUGGUACCAAGUGAAAAACCUACCUUGUUGUGCACAAUAUGGACGAAGAAAUUCUAUAAUCCAGAUAGUUUUCGGGCACAGAUGAAAAGUAUUUGGAAGACAAGAAAGAAGUUCGAGAUUAAAUUGGAAGGACAAAAUCUAUUUUUGAUCAUGUUUGAAAGUGAAGAAGAUUUGGAAUUAAUUAUGGAGGGGCAGCCAUGGCUAUUCCGGAAAAAUUUAAUAAUUUUUGAUCGGCUGGAUAGAUCAAUAGAAAGAAGUCAAAUUUGACUUAAUUCAUCCCUUUUUUGGAUUAAGAUUGGACCAUGUUCUCCAGAAUUUGAUAAAAAAGAUUUGAUGCAUGCUGUAGGGGUUACUUUUGGAGGCGUUUUCAGAUCCGAAAUAAACGGGGAAUUCUGUCGGCUGAGAGUCAAGCUAGAUGUGCAAAAACCCUUGCGAAUGGGGUAUUUUCGUCUCAACAGAAAAUCAAAGUAAGUCCUGGAUUCCUUUUAAAUAUGAAAAAUUACCUACAUUCUAUUUCGAUUGUGGAAAGAUAGGGUAUGGGCUCAUGGAGUGCCAAGAGUUCACACCUGAAGAAAGAAACAAAAUCAGAAUUGAUCCUCCUUUUUCACUAGCUUUGAAAGCAGAAUUAAAAUUAGUUGGAAAAGAGAGUUUAGUAUUUAAGGCCAGUUCAAAAAAGAUGCAACCCCAAUGUUUAUAAGUAGGAAAUACUGAGAUUUUCCCUGAAUUAAAUUUACAAGUGAACGAAAAUAAUAUUAUGUCCCAAGCUAAUUCACAAGACAUAGAGAAAGAGCUAGCAUUGAAGUUGCAGGAGGGUAAAAUAGAUACUGAAGAUAAGGUGACUGGUGUAAUUAAAAAUUCUACAGGAAUUCUGAAAUAAGCAAGGAAAGUGAGUUGGAAGCGAGUCGAGAUAGAAAGAGGGGUAGAUGCUUAUAAUGGCGAAAGUAUAUUGAGGAAAAGGAAAGCAGAAGAGAUUGCUUUUAAAGGAGAUGACCUAGGAUUCUCUCGUGAAGAUGAAACAAAAAGAAUACAGUAUGAGGGCAAAGAAAGUCAAACUACAGACAAUACAAUUUUUUCGGAUGAAUAUUUCCCCCAGAGUUAUGAUUUUCAUCAAUAUAGAUCGGCAGCUGCCAAGAGGCAUGCCGACCGGGCACAAUGAAAACCAUAUGCUGGAAUGUCUGUGGAUUGGGGAGUCCACGGGCAACACGAAGGCUUUGGUAUUUGCUGAAGCAACAUAAGCCCCAGAUGGUUUUCUUUAUGGAGACCAAAAUUGAUAGAAAGCGCAUGGAAAAAUUUCAGAGGAGAUGUGGUUUUGAGAAUGGAAUUGAUGUAGGAGCAGAAGGUUCUAGAAGGGGAAUUUGUAUGGCGUGGAAAACAGGAAUUACUGUAGUUCUUAAAAAUUUCUCAAGAAAUCAUAUUGAUGUAAUGGUAAAGGACGAAAAUUUCAAUGAAAAAUGGAGAUUUACUGGAUUCUAUGGUUCGUCUUAUGUUCAGGACAAGAAUGCCUCAUGGAAUUUAUUAAGGCAAUUGGGUAAAGAUCAAAACCAUCCUUGUCUAGUUUGUGGCUAUUUUAAUGAAAUAAUGUAUUCUUUUGAAAAAAGUAGAGGUCAAUCGAGGGAAGAAAAAAGAAUGGAAGCUUUUCGCGAAGUUCUUAAUGAAUGUCAAUUAAUGGACGUGGGUUACAUGGGGGUUUGGUUCACAUGCGAGGGUGGAAACUUACCGAAAACAAAUAUUAAAGAAAGACUUAAUAGAGGCGUGGCAAAUGAGAAAUGGAUGCAACUUUUUCCAAAUGGAACUAUUCAUCAUUUAACACAUGCGAUUUCAGAUCACUACCCCUUACUUAUAAGUACUAACAGUGGGAAAAGUAGUAAUAGAAGCCAAAGUUUCAAAUUCGAAGCAUGGUGGAUAAUGGAGGAAUCUUUCGAACAAGAGGUUAGAAUAGCGUGGGAGUCUUCGGAUAGAUCUAUAUGCGAAAAACUAGAUAGGCUAAAAUUUAGCCUAGUGAGAUGGGCGAGUGCAAUAAAGAAAGAACGAGUUGGUUUAAAGAACAGGCUCACAAAGGACCUUGAAGAAUUAAUGGCAAGCGAAAGAGAAGAUAUCACUAUGGAAAAGCUGAUUGAUACUAGGAUCCGACUCAAUAUGGAGAUUGAUAAAGAUGAAAUGUAUUGGGAACAAAGGGCAUGAGCUAACUAGCUUCUAUUAGAGGAUAAGAACACAUCCUUUUUUCAUAAGUAUGCAUCAGUACGUAAACAAAUAAACACCAUUAAUAGGUUGGAAGAUGAUAGAGGACAAGAAAUCACUGAUGACUUGGCAAUUAAUGAGGCUACUUCAAAUUAUUUCAAAAAUCUAUUCACAUCGAAGGGUGUGGGAAAUUUAUCCCAUAUACUAAAAGUAAUAAAUAGUAGUAUUUUAGCUAAUAUAAAUGUAAUUUUGCUUACAGCAGAAGAGGUUUUUUCAACUCUAAAAGGAAUGGGGGCCACUAAAGCGGCAGGCCAUGAUGGUUUUUCAGCACUAUUUUUUCAAAAAUUCUGGCACAUUGUAGGUAAGGAUGUUGAGAAAUUCUGUUUGGGAAUUCUAAAUGAUGGAAAGAAUUUUGAUUUGGUAAAUCUUACCGAUAUUGUACUUAUCCCAAAACUGCCAAAACCUACAAGUCUAGCUAAUUUCAGUCCUAUCAGCCUAUGCACAGUUCUAUACAAAAUUGUGGUAAAAACAAUUGCUAAUUGUUUUCAAAGGGUCAUUGGAAGAAUCAUAAACAAGGCCCAAAGUGCUUUUGUUCCAGGAAGACUAAUUACAGAUAACGUGCUAAUAGCCUAUAAACUCCUUCACACAUUGCGGAAGAAAAGGACCGGGUUAAACCUGAUAUGAGCAAAACUUAUGACAAAGUUGAAUGGAUUUUUCUUAAGGAAGUUAUGCUGAGAAUGAAAUAUGCAAAGGAAUGGGUGUCAUUGAUUAUGAAAUGUAUCUCCACAGCCUCCUACACAAUCAACAUCAAUAGAUGAAGAGAAUUGUUCUUAAACCCAUCCGAGGGCUCCGUCAAGGUGAUCCACUCAGCCCUUUUCUGUUUCUAAUAUGCAAUGAGGGACUUUCAUCUUUAGUAAGAAUAGCGACAACUGAUGGUUUACUAAGAGGAGUAAGAGCAAGUCAAAGAGGGCCAGCGAUUUCCCACAUACUGUUUGCAGAUAAUAGUAUUAUGUUUGGCCAAGCGGCAUAUAGAGGAGCACGUAUCUUAAAAGGUAUCUUGAAAGAGUACGAACAGUGUUCAGGACAAUGUGUGAAUUUGAGCAAGUCAAUAAUUUUCUACAGCUCAAAUACAACGGAAAGAGACAAAACGGAGGUAUCAACAGUAGUAGGGGUGAAAUGCUCCACAAAUUUGGAAAAAUAUCUUGGACUCCCUAAUGUGGUAGGUAGACGGAAGAAGGAAGCUUUUCAAAAUAUAAAGGAUAAAAUCAAAUCAAAAAUCGAUAGUUGGAGCACAAGAUUAUUGUCACAAGGGGGCAAGGAGGUUUUUAUCAAGUCAUUGCUUCAAGCAAUUCCAGCAUAUGUUAUGUCAUGUUUUCUCUUACCAAAAUCUUUUUGUGGAGAGUUGGAAAAUAUUUUUGCGAGAUUCUGUUGCCAAAAAGGGCAGGGUAGAAAAAAGAUACAUUGGUGUCACUGGAAAUAUAUGUGCCGAUCAAAAGAAGGGGGUAUGGGAAUCAGGAAUAUGUCACAAUUUAAUAUCUCAUUAUUAGCUAAGCAAGGAUGGAGGAUUAUUAAUAAUCAGGAUUCACUGGUUAUACAAGUUUUUAAAGCAAAAUAUUUUCUGGAUGAGCACUUUUUAAAUUCUCAAUUGGGAAAAACUAGCUCCUAUAUCUGGAAAAGCAUAUGGGCAGCAAGGGGUAUUUUAGAAAAAGGUUAUGUGUUAGAAGGUUGGUACAGGUUCAAAUAUUUCCAUUAAUGAUGAUGCGUGGAUUCCAGAUGCUGUUAAUUUUAAAGUAUCAACGUCGAUGUUGGAAAAAUUCUCCGGAUACCUUUAGCAUGCACACCUCACGACAAUCUACUUGUGUGGGGAGGUGAUCAUUCAGGGGAAUUCUCGGUACGCAGCGCCUAUAAACUAUUACAAAUUUCUGAUGAACUUCCUAGAGCUUAUGCUUUACAAACCAACUACGGGGAUUUUUACAAUAAAUUAUGGCAAUUAAAUUUACCGACCAAAAUAAAGAUUACAAUAUGGAGAAUUGCAUGGAACUAUCUACCUACGAAGGUGAAUAUGCAAUAUCGAAAACUGAUCAGUAACACAAACUGUCCUCGAAGUGAAGAAAGGAAUGAAACAACCGAUCAUAUCUUCAGAAUGUGGCCUUCACAAUGGAAGUUUGGGCACUAUUAAAACUUCAAAAUAUUCUCAUGAAUCCAGACAUGGAUUUUAUACAAUGGAUUACCUGGGCCUCUGGUCAGCUUAAUACGUGCCAGAACAGACUCUUCUGCUAUGGCCUUUGGGCUAUCUGGGGUGAAAGAAACAAAAAAGUACAUGAGGAAAAAACCAGCACAGGGCAAGAAAUAGUGAACUUCAUCAAUAACUAUCUGUUUGAACUUAAUGGUCCUGAAAAGGAAAAGUCAGUAAGAGAAGAGGAACAUAAAAGAUGGACCCAACCACCUAGCGAGUUCGUCAAAAUUAAUUUUGAUGGUGCCUAUGAUUCGACUCAUCAACAAUCUGCCUCAAGAGUUGUAGCUAGAAACACUGAAGGAAUCAUUUUACACACCUGCUCAGAUAUUCAUCACGAUGUAACGUUAGCCUUCACUGCUGAAGCAAUCGCGUGUCGAAAAGCUGUCCAAAUAGAAGUAGAAUAAGAAUGGCCGAAGAUCAUCAUAAAAGGGGAUUCCCUCACAACAAUAAAGAAAUGUUUGUCAGAAAGUCAAGAUCGAUCCUGAAUUGGAGCAUAUAUUCACAAUAUUAAGCAAAAACUAAAUAGAUUUAGGAGUAUCAUGUUCAAGUUUACACCAAGAUCGACAAAUGUUCUCGCGCAUAUAGUGGCAACAGAAUCGUUAAAAUGAAGGAAGAGUUAUACCUGAAAAACGGUCCCAGAAUAUGCUGAGAAACAACAACAGAUCAACUGGAGAAAAGAACCAGACUGAGGAGGAAAUGAAGAAGAAACACAUAAGAGGAAAGCAAAGGAAGCAGAGGCAUCAGUUUUGAAGAACACCUUUCCAUAAACUGAACUGUCAAAAGCAAAGAAAAGUAAUAAGAUUUUCAGAUGAAAAGACAAGGUUCGGCUGUUUAUGACUGGGCAUUAAUUAGAAGCAAUAAUGAGGAACUCUGUAGACUCUCAGAAAAAUAUCUAGAUUUUUUAAC